GACAGAGGCCCCAAGCGUUAGGCGGAAUCACUGGGCUUAAAGCGUGUGUAGGCGGAUCGUUAAGUGUCUUGUGAAAUCCCACGGCUCACCCGUGGAACGGCUGGGCAUACUGGCGAUCUUGGGCCAACUAGGGGCAGUCGGAACAAGCGGUGGAGCGGUGAAAUGCGUAGAUAUCGCUUGGAACGCCGAAGGUGAAAACAGCUCGCUGGGGGUUUGCUGACGCUGAGACACGAAAGCCAGGGGAGCAAACGGG
rnacentral:rRNA from 1 species